rfam:Methanosarcina acetivorans str. C2A, complete genome.
UAGAUAAAAUACCAUUCGCCGGAAUACUGCGAUCAUUGUGGUCAUCAUCUUGAAGAUACUGAAGUUCAGGACUAUGAACGUAGGCAAGAAGCUGAAAUUC